GAUCUAACAAUUCGUAUAUACGGGUUCGUUAACGGGUCAACGCGAACACGAUAAUGCUAAACACGGACACGACACGUUAAGUUCGAAAAAUGGACGUUUUUG